rnacentral:rRNA from 1 species
UACAGAGGUCCCAAGCGUUGUUCGGAUUCAUUGGGCGUAAAGGGUGUGCAGGCGGCGCCGUGAGUCGGGCGUGAAAGCUCGGGGCUUAACUCCGAAACUGCAUUCGAUACUGCGGUGCUUGAGCACUGGAGAGGAGACUGGAAUUCAUGGUGUAGCAGUGAAAUGCGUAGAGAUCAUGAGGAAGACCAGUGGCGAAGGCGGGUCUCUGGACAGUUCCUGACGCUGAGACACGAAGGCCAGGGGAGCAAACGGG